rnacentral:rRNA from 1 species
UACGUAGGGUGCAGGCGUUAAUCGGAAUUACUGGGCGUAAAGCGUGCGUAGUCGGUUAUUUAAGUCGGAUGUGAAAUCCCCGGGCUCAACCUGGGAAUUGCAUUCGAUACUGGAUAGCUGGAGUUCGGCAGAGGGAAGCGGAAUUUCUGGUGUAGCGGUGAAAUGCGUAGAUAUCAGAAGGAACAUCAGUGGCGAAAGCGGCUUCCUGGACCAGAACUGACGAUCAGGCACGAAAGCGUGGGGAGCAAACAGG